rnacentral:rRNA from 1 species
UACGGGGGGGGCAAGCGUCGUUCGGAAUUACUGGGCGUAAAGGGUUCGUAGGUGGCUUGCUAAGUCAGACGUGAAAUCCCUCAGCUUAACUGGGGAACUGCGUCUGAUACUGGCGAGCUUGAGUGCAGGAGAGGAACGCAGAAUUCCAGGUGUAGCGGUGAGAUGCGUAGAUAUCUGGAGGAAUACCGGUGGCGAAGGCGGCGUUCUGGACUGCAACUGACACUGAUGAACGAAAGCCAGGGGAGCAAACGGG